GGAAAAACAAAGUCUAUUCGUCCCUAUUUUCUGUUGGUAAAAUUCAGUGUUGGGGAGGUCUACAUCCUCAAGAAUAUUCAAUAUUAAAUAGCACUCAGAUGGAGCUAAAUGGAAUGCCACAAUCAUUACCAGGCAAGUCAGGAAGUGAAGUGCUCUAAAGGCUAGCUCCUGUAUCAUCAUCAGGCUCGGGAGUCUGGAAGGGACUAGUUAAGGUUCCAAACCCCUAAACCAGCUGUGGGAGGGUCAAUUACUAACAGCACAGUGACAGAAAUCUACUUCCUGCUCACAGGCCAAUGCUUCUCCAGCCCUUCAAGCAGAAGUGGCACCACUUGAGAGAGGCCUGCAUAUAUUUUCUUCUAGAAAUGUACCAAAAAAUGCCUUUUAAUGAUUUUCUACAUUUUCAGAAGGAACCUCAGUUUCUCAAGAGCUAACAAGCAUUUGGAUGCAGAAGCUGAGUAAUGUCACAAGCAGCCAACCAGCCAAGUCAUCACCUACAUCAAGGAGUUGAGAGAAUCUCAGCAAUGUGGAGUCUCUUAAGAACCCACCAACCCCCCACUGAAGAAAGUUCUAGCAAAUCGUGCAUCUGUCACAAUUGUUAUUAAAUUGUCCCUGAUGACAAAGUACAACCAUAAGUAAAUUUGUGUUCUCCUCCCUCACAUCCUGCGUCUUUCAGUCUCAAGUAGGAGCUGAUGAGCAGGGGAAGUGAGAGAGUGAAAAACAGAGACGGUACCCACACUUUCCUUCUCUAUCACAGCAUCCUACUUAAGGGAAGUUCACGCUGAGAGUGGAGAAAAUCUUUAAACUGGAUGAGAAUUUAGAUUUCUGAUUCACUCUCCCUUUCAACAAAUACGUAUUGAGCGGGAGUCUACAAUGUCCUUGCCACUGUUUUAGGUUCAAGGAAUAAAUUGGUAAACACACCCACACACGCAGAAAAAGAAAAGAACAAAGUCCUUGCCUUCAAGGGACUUACUAGGGAAGGCAGACAGAAAAUAGACAAACUCAGUGUUAUCCCUUAGAAGGCAGAAAAAGACAGCAGGAAGGAGAAUCUGGAAUGCUAGAGUGGAAGUGAGGUCUGAAUUUGUCAAUAAGAUGGUCAAGGAAGAUGAGAUUUGAGCAAAGACUUGAUGGAUGUGACACCUGCCCUGACUAGACUUUCUAGUACCUAAGAAAAAAAAGAUUUUAUCAUCUGAGAAUGAUUGGGAAAGCUAUGGAAGUUACACAAAUUUUAAUCUAGAGGCAGGAAAGGAUAUUCCACAGAGUGAAUUUAGUAGAGACUGGCAAGAGAGAAUAAAGUAUCCUAUUCAGUUCAAACUGACUCACUUGAAUGAAGUGACUAUAUAUAAUUUAAGGACAAGAGCUUCUAGAACCAGAGUUUGCAACUGCCAACAUCCUAAAUACUUAAAAUGCACUUGUUCAAUGUUCCAUUUGCACUCAGAAAAAAAUAUCUCUACUUGCAGGGUCCUAUCUAAGUGCCUGUGUAGCUUCCUGUACAGCUCUUUGCACAAUUGGACUCUUAUAAUACAAGAAUGGUUCCACAAUUUGCAGGAGGGAAACAAGGCUAUUAUUUGAGUUAAGAGUGUAGCUCAUCUCUGGGUUUUGUAGAUAAGAGUGCACUUUUCAGGUGGAUGCCUAGAGGACUGGUUUUCUAUAAAUUCAUUGUGUUCCUAAAGGUCAGAGUUUUGUCUCUUGCUUCCUUGAGAUACAGCAUUAGUAUCACAAGACAGGCCCCCACUUUAUAUUCAUAAUUCAUCAGCUCAUGGAAUGAUUUAAAAAGAGAACUGCUCUGUUGCACUUGGCAUUUUGUCAAUACAAAAUAUUAACAUGCUCACAAUUAUAAACAAAGGAUAUAAUGCUACUUUUCCCAACUUUGGGAUCUAAUUCAUGUCUCAGAUAAGUAAGGCUAAUUCUGAAGCUUAUAGGUUGGUGGAGAGAAUUCUAAGCACAAUUUUUUUAGGCCUACAAUUUUAUAAAUAAAUAGAUUACCUGUCUUCACCCCAGAACAUCAGAAAUCUGAGGCCUAAUACUUUCUUUUGUUUACUAUUGUCAAAAAAAAGGAGUAAAUUUUUCAACAUAUCUCAGAAUUUUUGUGUAAUAAAGUAUAUAAUUAAAUGUAUUCACCUAUCACAUAGAUAAAAUGUAUCUUUUGUAACAUAACCAUAUAAAUUUUGGUGUCACAUACUUAGUGUUAUAGAGGCGAGAGAGACUUUUCAGACCCAGACUAACAUGAAACAGCAGUGCAAGAACAGAGGGGAAAAAAAAUAAUUAUUUAACGUUUUUCUUUGUAGAUGUCUCAUUUGCACUAUUUUAGUUAUAUAUCACAACUAUUUUAUGUAGAGUCAUACUCUUAUCCUAAUUUUACAGAUGAGGAAACUGAGGCCGAAAUGGAUCAAGUAACUUGUCGAAAGUCAUAGGGCAAAUAAACAAUAGAGUCCUUCUGUGUGGCUCCAAACCCUGACUUUAUUGUAGCUGCUGGGUUUUACCAAAAUCUGAGUUAUUUUGACAAGAAAAGAGCACCUUCAAUAUUAUCUAUAGCUUUUCUUAUUCAGAUGUUUCUGCUGUCAGGGAUUUCUAAAGCUUGCUAGGAAAGCUUGCAUUAAAAAAAUUCGAGCCCUAAAAUUCUCCUUCCUGUGACCUGGACUGAGAGGUCCCUAGUCCUGUGUUUUUAGGAUGGUUUAGCAAUAAAUGAUUCAAAUGAAAAGUAGGUAGUUAAGAGACCACAUUGAGAGAGAGCCUCAAUUCAAAAGAAAUUGCUGAGGUCAAUGUAUAUUAUGGAAAUGAUUUUCUUCCUUUUCUUUGCGCCACUAGCACAUGUGGCUUACCCGAAUCUUUCACUAAAUUUAUGUACCUCGAAGUAGGACAUGUUCUAUAAAUCUAGCCGGUCCUUUGAUGCAUAUCAGUUGAGAGCCUAGCAGGAAUCCACACAAUAACAAGUGAAGCGUUUAAGAGAUUGAGAGUUUAAAA
ensembl:lncRNA